GACGAACGCUGGCGGCGUGCUUAACACAUGCAAGUCGAACGGGAUUUAGUAAACAGAAACCUCGGUGGAAGAUUACUAAUGAGAGUGGCGAACGGGUGAGUAACGCGUGAGCAACCUGCCUAUGACAGUGGGAUAGCCUCGGGAAACCGGGAUUAAUACCGCAUAAAAUCGUAGAAACACAUGUUUUAACGGUCAAAGAUUUAUCGGUCAUAGAUGGGCUCGCGUCUGAUUAGCUAGUUGGUGAGAUAACAGCCCACCAAGGCGACGAUCAGUAGCUGGUCUGAGAGGAUGAACGGCCACAUUGGAACUGAGACACGGUCCAAACUCCUACGGGAGGCAGCAGUGGGGAAUAUUGCACAAUGGGGGAAACCCUGAUGCAGCGACGCCGCGUGAACGAAGAAGGUAUUCGUAUCGUAAAGUUCUGUCCUAUGGGAAGAUAAUGACAGUACCAUAGAAGAAAGCUCCGGCUAAAUACGUG
rnacentral:rRNA from 1 species